UCCAGGGGAUCUUCCCCACCCAGGGUUCAAACUGCGUCUCCUACAUUGGCAGGCGGACUCUUACACCACUUCACCACCUGGGAAGCCCACAACAAAGAAUUAUAUGGCUGAAGAUGUCAAUAGUGCUGAAGUUGAGAAACCAUGGUUUAACAGCACUGCAGCCAGCCAGAGUCAGCUUCUUGAGACAGAUGUGCUGGGCUCACUACUCCCCCCUCCAACUCUUCACACUACUCCUGGGAUAAAUCUCACUCUUAACAUGGCCCCAAAGGAGUAGGGGUGGCUCCCACCCUCUCUUCACUCACAAAGUUGGGUCCAGCCGCACCGGCCUCUGGGUCUCUCAAAGCACAGCUUCAGCCAACCUCAGCCUUCCCACUGUUAUUCCCUUGACUUGGAACAUUCUCCCCCUUCACCCAGUGAACUCCCAUUCAUCCUUCAGGUCUCAAGCUACUUCGCACCUUCAGGCGGUGACCUUCCCUCACGGCCCCUCUCCCCUCAAUCUAGUCAGGUCCUGCUGCUUAGUACUUCUUAAAUCACCCUGUGAGUUUCUGUCCCGAUUGUAACUGUAAAGGUCUAUGUGUGGUUAGUUGAUUGAUGACUGUCUCCCUCACUUGACUGAGCUCUACAAGGAGAGGUCAGUCUUGCUCAUUGCUGACUGCUUUUAUGUACCAGUAUCUGGCAUAACAGAAGUGCCCAAUAGAAGCAUUUGUUGAGUGAGGAAAGCAGGCACUCAAUAAAUUUGUUGAAUGAAUGAGGAGAGGGACACAUAUGGGAGCAAGAGCAGUACAAAAUGUGUGCCUUGACGUGUGUUUACAAGGAGUGAAGGACGAAUGACUUGCCUGGGGAGUUGGGAAGGCCUCACCCAGGUUCACAAAGAGGCCAGUGGUGUGUGUGCACGUGCAUGCAUGGUAGCUAGGCAACUGGGGUUUAAGGUGCUAGGGGAAAAGUUGGAGACAGACACAUCAUGAAAGCUCAGGCAUAACUAGUAGGGAAAGGUGAGAACUUCCCAGCACUCACCCUCUGUUCAGGUACCUUGUCACCACACUGCGGGGCCGAUGCCUUCCCUUGAAUUCUGGUCACUGAUGAGGCCACCUGCAGCUGCCUAGAAGCAGCAGGACGGGACUCAUGUCUAACCCUGAUCCUAAAUGGAACUGUGUUCUCCAGACCAAUUUGAAUAAUUUAGAUUCCAGCAGAGCUGAUAAUACAGAUGUUUUAGAAAUGUUUCAUAAAGACAAAGAUGCCUAUCUUUGAGUGAGAGAAAUGAUAGAAAAAAUGCACCAAAAAAGCCAACACCAACAGCACAGGCCAGGCAGGCCAGAGGCAUUUUCUAGAAGAAGCAAAGAAAAAAAAGUUUCAAAGUUAACAACUCCUCUUAACAAAACACCAAAACUCCCACUACUAUCAAUACUGGAAUUACAGGCCAUUUUAAAAAAUUCUCUUGAAAUACAACAUAUACACAGAAAAGUGCCUUUUCCCUAAGUGUGUACCUCGAUGAAUUUUCACAGGGUGAACUCAAUUGUGUCACCACCACCCAGAUUGUUUAAGUUUGCUCUUUUCUGUGGGUAUUUUCAGAGGCUUCCAAGAAUACUGAGACACAGGAAAGAUGACAUGUCAAGGACACCAGGGAUAAUCCUGAAACAUAUUAGAUAAAUCUCUGAGCUGUGGGAUUUGAAAAAGACAUACCCUUUUGACCUGAGACCAAAUUCUUUGGUUUGAGUUGCAAGGAGUUCAAGCAGAGUCUAAUGUUUCUUCUCUCCAGACACUCAGGGACGAGUCCCAGGUUCUUGUUUGGAGCUGCUUGUUCUGCAGAAGCCUUUGUAGCUGCCUUCCACACACCCUGGCACCUCUUUCUGAGAGUUCUCUGAGUCACUUAUUUAGGUGGGUUCCAAACAGCAAAGGGUAGAGGUAACUUAAUGUUGUUGUCAAUUUGUUACUGUGGUUGUAAUCAAAAUUUUUUGUCUAAUUUUUGGUCACGCUGUACAGCAUGCAGGAUCUUAGUUCCCCGUCCAGAGAUCAAACCUGAGCCCCCUGCAGUGGAAGCAUGGAGUCUUAACCACUGGACUGCCAAGGAAGUCGCUGGAAUAAAAAAUGUUUAAAAAAGAAAAAAACUGUAGGGGAAACUUAAUGCAAGAUUGGGGAGGGGAUGGACAAUAUCUGUUUCAGCAGGAAAUAACAGAAAGCUGACACUGGUGUAGACAUUCAAGUGCAAACUGAAAACUGAAAGUGAAUGGAUAAAAAAUAAGCUGCUAUAAGACUUGUUAACUUAGGGAGAAAGUUGAAGUCUGGAGCCCAGUGCUAAGAAAACAGUAAACAGUCCCAAGAAGCAUGGUAGGAGAGAGAGCAUGGGAAGACUGGAAUCAAGAAAUCUGAGGGCUUUCCCUGGUGGUCCAGUGGCUAAGAAUCUGCCUUGCAAUGCAAGGGACACUGGUUUGAUUCAUGGUCUGGGAAGGCCCCACAUGCCUUGGAGCAACUAAACCCGUAAAU